rnacentral:rRNA from 1 species
AUUUCCUACGGGGGCAGCAGUGGGGAAUAUUGCACAAUGGGGGAAACCCUGAUGCAGCAACGCCGCGUGAGUGAAGAAGUAUUUCGGUAUGUAAAGCUCUAUCAGCAGGGAAGAAAAUGACGGUACCUGAGUAAGAAGCCCCGGCUAACUACGUGCCAGCAGCCGCGGUAAUACGGAGGAUGCGAGCGUUAUCCGGAUUUAUUGGGUUUAAAGGGUGCGCAGGCGGUCUGUUAAGUCAGCGGUCAAAGCCCGGGACUCAACCCCGGCCCGCCGUUGAAACUGGCAGUCUCGAGUUGGAGAGAAGU